UACGUAGGGUCCGAGCGUUGUCCGGAAUUAUUGGGCGUAAAGGGCUCGUAGGCGGUUUGUCACGUCGGGAGUGAAAACUCAGGGCUCAACCCUGAGCGUGCUUCCGAUACGGGCAGACUAGAGGUAUGCAGGGGAGAACGGAAUCCCUGGUGUAGCGGUGGAAUGCGCAGAUAUCAGGAGGAACACCGGUGGCGAAGGCGGUUCUCUGGGCAUGACCUGACGCUGAGGCGCGACAGCGUGGGGAGCAAACAGG
rnacentral:rRNA from 1 species